rnacentral:rRNA from 1 species
UAAGGAAUCUUCCACAAUGGGCGAAAGCCUGGUGGAGCAACGCCGCGUGCAGGAUGACGGCCCCCGGGUCGUAAACUGCUUUUAUGAGUGAAGAAUAUGACGGUAACUCAUGAAUAAGCACCGGCUAACUACGUGCCAGCAGCCGCGGUCAUACGUAGGGUGCAAGCAUUAUCCGGAGUGACUGGGCGUAAAGAGUUGCGUAGGCGGUUAGUAAAGCGAAUAGUGAAACCUGGUGGCUCAACCAUACAGACUAUUAUUCGAACUCACUAACUCGGGGGUGGUAGAGGUAACGGGAAUUUCUUGUGUAGGAGUGAAAUCCGUAGAUAUAAGAAGGAACACCAAUGGCGUAGGCAGGUUACUGGGCCAUUUCUGACGCUAAGGCACGAAAGCGUGGGGAGCGAACC